rnacentral:lncRNA from 1 species
GGUAAGUUAAUUGGAUGUUUUUCUGUACUUCCAUACCUUCCCUUACAAAACUCUGGCUUAAUCUAAUCCACUUAUAUAAUCUGUACUUCCCAGUUACCUACCAGACAUUGAUAUUCUUCCUGUGGUAGAAUUAUCAUAGGUAGUUCCCUAUCCGUAGCAGUGCCUACUGUCACUGCCCAGGUUGUAUCAGGUUUGCAUUUCGUGCUUGAACUAUAGCUGGUUUUCACUGAGCACAGCUCUUGGCCCUUCAUGUUCUCCAGAUAAUAGAAUCCUAAUAUGUUCCAUUGAUACUCAGUGCCAUGCAUUAUCUGAAGAGAUUUUCCCCCAAAACAGAUGUAUUAUGUCUGUCCUUGCGGGGGUUCUGGUCCCUGUGUCAGUCUUAACUCUCAUGAAUAUAGAGGUAGUGUUAAGAGGCCAGAACCCUAGGGACGCUUUAAAUUCACUUCCCAGCCUAUUUAAUGUCCAUUGAGUAGUUCUGGUGGUCAGGAAGGUGGUUGUCUUCUUUUGCUUAGCAGGGGGUAUUUGAGCAGGAGGAGGCUUAUGCUUUGCCGAGACUAGAGUCACAUCCUGACACAACUCUUGUCCUGGUGUGCUAGAGUACUCGAAGAGAAUCUACUGGUCUUGAUUCACUGGUGGGGGCAGUCGGUGCCCCCGUUAGUGCCCAGAUCAGAAACAUACAUACCCUGCCUAGGGAUUUAGAAAGUGGGUUGGCAGUCUUUCCUCACGCCCAUCACGCAGUUGGUACCUACUACAGUGUAUUGUAAACUUUUUUCUCUGUUCU